rnacentral:rRNA from 1 species
CCUACGGGAGGCAGCAGUGGGGAAUCUUGCGCAAUGGGCGAAAGCCUGACGCAGCGACGCCGCGUGAGCGAUGAAGGCCUUCGGGUUGUAAAGCUCUGUGGGGAGGGAAGAAUAAGGAUCGGCUAAUACCCGGUCUGAUGACGGUACCUCCUUAGCAAGCACCGGCUAACUCUGUGCCAGCAGCCGCGGUAAUACAGAGGGUGCAAACGUUGUUCGGAAUUACUGGGCGUAAAGCGCGUGUAGGCGGCUACGCAAGUCGGAUGUGAAAUCCCGCAGCUCAACUGUGGAAGUGCACUCGAUACUGCGAAGCUAGAGUCCUGGAGAGGAAGAUGGAAUGCUUGGUGUAGAGGUGAAAUUCGUAGAUAUCAAGCGGAACACCGGUGGCGAAGGCGGUCUUCUGGACAGUGACUGACGCUGAGACGCGAAAGCGUGGGGAGCAA